CCCGUGGCGGGUCGUCGGGGAGACUGAGAGGGAAGGGGAGUCGGGGUGUUAGGCCUAGCGGGCUGACUGGGCUGCGGGCGGCCGGGCCGUUCCGUGAGGCGGGGACCGGAGAGCCGCGGGGACCGGGCGCGCGGGCUGCACGCCACGCUCCGGGGGCGCCUGAGCGAGCGGGCCGGCCGGGAGGAGCGGCCGGGAGUCCCCCAGCCGGGACCAUGGGCUGCUGCUUCUCCAAGAGGCGGAAUUCGGAGAAAGAAGCGCAGCCCCAGGGCGAGGAGGAGCCGCCGAAGCAGUACAGCUGGGACCAGCGCGAGAAGGUUGAUCCAAAAGACUACAUGUUCAAUGGACUGAAGAAUGAAACAGUGGGUCGCUUACCUGGGAAGGUGGCAGGACAACAGUUUCUCAUUCAAGACUGUGAGAGCUGUAACAUCUAUAUUUUUGAUCACUCUGCUACAAUUACUAUUGAUGACUGUACUAACUGCGUCAUUUUUCUGGGACCUGUGAAAGGCAGUGUGUUUUUCCGCAAUUGCAGAGAUUGCAAGUGCGCACUGGCCUGCCAACAGUUUCGUGUGCGGGACUGUAGAAAGCUGGAAGUCUUUUUGUGCUGUGCCACUCAACCCAUUAUUGAGUCUUCCACAAAUAUCAAGUUUGGCUGUUUUCAAUGGUACUACCCUGAAUUAGCUUUCCAGUUCAAAGAUGCAGGGCUAAGUAUCUUCAAUAAUAACUGGAGUAAUAUCCAUGACUUUACACCUGUGUCUGGAGAAGUCAACUGGAGCCUUCUUCCAGAAAAUGCUGUUAUUCACGACUAUGUUCCUCUACCUACUACCAAUGAGCUCCAAGCUGUCCGCAUUUCCACAGAAGCCAAUAGAAGUAUCGUUCCGGUAACCCAGGGUCAGAGACAGAAGAACAGUGAUGAAUCAUGCCUAGUGGUAUUAUUUGCUGGUGAUUAUACUAUCGCAAAUGCCAUGAAACUAAUUGAUGAGAUGGUUCAUUUAGGUUUUUUCCUGAUGCAGACAAAGGAAGUAUCCAUGAAAGCUGAGGAUGCUCAGAGGGUUUUUCGGGAAAGAGCACCUGAAUUCCUUCAACUUCUGAACAAAGCCCCAUCCUGAGCUGAGUUCAGCAUGACUCAGUACUGCUGUUCUUCUGGCCACUGGUCCUGACAUCCCUUGAAGACCCCAGAUACUCACCUAGGCCCGCAUUCCCCUGACGUUUGUAUCACAAAACAAGGAGACAGCAUCUAGAGAUAUAGACGGCUUCUACAACUUUGCUGAUAUACAGAUGGGAAUAUGAAGUGCACCGUGGAACCAGGGACUUGGAAUUAAAGCCCUUCUCAACUUGUAUAUUACCAACGGCUUUUACUAAGGCUAACAUUGUUAAAGUUGAUUCUUCAAUAAAUUAUUAAAUACUGCAUCAUUUA